UACGGGGGGUGCGAGCGUUGUCCGGAAUCACUGGGCGUAAAGGGCGCGUAGGUGGUCUGAUAAGCGUGCGGUGAAAGCCCGGGGCUCAACCCCGGGUCGGCCGUGCGAACUGCGAGGCUGGAGCACUGUGGAGGCAGGUGGAAUUCCGGGUGUAGCGGUGGAAUGCGUAGAGAUCCGGAAGAACACCGGUGGCGAAGGCGGCCUGCUGGGCAGUGGCUGACGCUGAGGCGCGACAGCGUGGGGAGCAAACAGG
rnacentral:rRNA from 1 species